rnacentral:tRNA from 1 species
GACUUCUUAGCUCAGUUGGUAGAGUGUCAGAUUCCAGUCAUCCGACACAUCAACGUGUUAACGCUGUUUCCUGAAAGUCAGCGGUUCAAAUCCGUUAGAGGUCA